GUCUGUCAGUGUUGACUCAGUCUCUGUUUAUCGAGUCGGGUGGAUGGAGAUGGGAUGAGAGAGGGAGGCAGGGAUGAGGUCAAGAUUAAAUACACCAAUAGAACUCUGUGUAGUGAUGGUACUUGCUUGGCUUUAUUAGUUUCCAGAGGAAUCAUCCAGGAGCCCUAGAUGGGUGAGAAUAUGCAGAAGUGGACAUGAGCAGCCUGGACAUUCUUCUAAGGAGACAUGAAUAGUCCUGCGCUUCCUGCCUCCCGCUUAACUGGCUGUGAUAAGAGUACCAAGGGAAAAUAAGUCAUGUGCCAGAAUCUACUGCCCUCAUGCGAUGGAAAGCGAAGGAGAGCGAUGACACUGCGAGUAUUAUCGAUACCACGCAAAAGCCAUCCAACUGGGAGCGGAACAGCUGCCACUCUCAAUGAGAUAAGUGUCUGUUUUGGUGAUUGCUCUGCUCACGGCCCUCCCUGCUCCUGGUAGGGACGCCACAUUAGCUGGGGCUGGGUUUGUAAGAAAAUGUUUUUGACUAGCUGUAGUUACGAAGGGCACAAGGUCCCCAUUUUCAGAGGCUGCUCAGUUCUCUGGCCAGGAGCGGCAAGUUCUCUGCAGCAGAAGGUUGGAUCCAGGAGGAUGACUGCAGGUGGUGCACUUCCAGAGGAAGUGUCCAGGAGCCCCAGCCCGAGGAGAAGCUGGCAGAAGUGGAUCUGAUCAGCCUGAACAUCCUUCUAAGCAGACAUGAGCAGUCCUCAGCUUUCUGCCUCGCACGUAACACUUCAUGACUUGUAGCAGCACGGCUGAAGCUUAAGAUAAAUGCAUGGUAGAGGCUGAUUACAGGCGGCUGCUUCACUUUAGUACCACAGACAAAGAAGUCAAGGGUAAGAGCCCACCCCUGUUGUGAGAUGGAAAGCGCACAAGAGCCAUGUGACAGUGAGCAUUGUUAUGCCAGGCUAUGCAGAUGCCGUUGAGCUGGGAGCGGAGCUGCCGUCACCAUCAGUGAGAUAAGUGUCUGGUUUGGGGAGGACUCUGGUAACAGCCCACCUGCCUCCAGGCUGAGACUUGUCGUUAGCUGAGGCUCGGUUUGUAGGAAAAGAUUCCUGAGUAGCUGUGGUUAGGAGGGAGACAAGGUCCCCAUUUUCAGGGGCUGCUCAUUUCUUUGUCCAUAAAUGGUGUGUCCUCUCUAGCAGUCAGGGCCGGCUCCAGGCACCAGCUUAUCAAGCAGGUGCUUAGGGUGGCAACUCCUGAGCGGGGCGGCACUUUCAGGUAUUCGGCGGGAAUUCG